rnacentral:rRNA from 1 species
AGAGUUUGAUCAUGGCUCAGGACGAACGCUGGCGGCGUGCCUAACACAUGCAAGUUGAGCGACGAACCAGGGCUUGCCCUGGGGCAAAGCAGCGAACGGGUGAGUAACACGUGGAUAACCUGCCCCGAAUACUGGGACAACCCGAGGAAACUCGGGCUAAUACCAGAUGUGCUUACCAAGCUUAAGCCUGGUAAGGAAAGGAAGCUUCGGCCUCCGAUUCGGGAGGGGUCCGCGGCCCAUUAGCUAGUUGGUGAGGUAACGGCUCACCAAGGCUUCGAUGGGUAGCUGGUCUGAGAGGACGAUCAGCCACACUGGGACUGAGACACGGCCCAGACUCCUACGGGAGGCAGCAGUGGGGAAUCUUGCGCAAUGCGCGAAAGCGUGACGCAGCAACGCCGCGUGGGGGAAGAAGGCCUUCGGGUUGUAAACCCCUUUCAGGAGGGACGAAGGUGCGGCAGUUAAUAGCUGACCGUACUGACGGUACCUCCAGAAGAAGCUCCGGCUAACUACGUGCCAGCAGCCGCGGUAAUACGUAGGGAGCAAGCGUUGUCCGGAAUCAUUGGGCGUAAAGCGCGCGUAGGCGGCCCGGUAAGUCCGUUGUAAAAGUCGAAGGCUCAACCUUCGAAAGCCGAUGGAUACUGCCGGGCUAGAGUUCGGAAGAGGCGAGUGGAAUUCCUGGUGUAGCGGUGGAAUGCGCAGAUAUCAGGAGGAACACCUAUAGCGAAGGCAGCUCGCUGGUACGACACUGACGCUAAGGCGCGAAAGCGUGGGGAGCGAACAGGAUUAGAUACCCUAGUAGUCC